UGAGACAGUUCGGUCCCUAUCUGCCGUAGGUGUAGGAGAAUUGAGAGGAUCUGACUCUAGUACGAGAGGACCGAGUUGGACGCAUCUCUGGUGGACCUGUUGUCGCGCCAGCGGCAUAGCAGGGUAGCUAUAUGCGGACGGGAUAACCGCUGAAGGCAUCUAAGCGGGAAACCCACCUCAAAACGAGUUCUCCCUCGAGAGCCGUGGAAGACCACCACGUUGAUAGGCCGGGUGUGGAAGCGCUGCAAAGCGUGGAGCUUACCGGUACUAAUAGCUCGAUCGGCUUGAACGCUCUCAUU
rnacentral:rRNA from 1 species